rnacentral:rRNA from 1 species
UAUGUGAUCGUCUCUUGCAUAUCAAUAAGCGGAGGAAAAGAAACUAACAAGGAUUCCCCUAGUAACGGCGAGUGAAGCGGGAAGAGCUCAAAUUUGAAAUCUUAAAGGGUUUCCCUUUACGAAUUGUAGUUUAAAGAAGUGUUUUCUGUUGAGGUUUUGGUAAAAGUUCUUUGGAAUAGGACAUCAUAGAGGGUGAGAAUCCCGUAUUUGACCUUUACUUUCAACUUUGUGAUACACUUUCAAAGAGUCGGAUUGUUUGGGAAUGCAGUCCAAAAUGGGUGGUAAAUUUCAUCUAAAGCUAAAUAUUGGCGAGAGACCGAUAGCGAACAAGUACCGUGAGGGAAAGAUGAAAAGAACUUUGAAAAGAGAGUUAAACAGUACGUGAAAUUGUCAAAAGGGAAGCGUUUGACACCAGUGUUGUUUUUCUGAAAAUCAAUUAAAGAACUGUUUAUGCUAAGUUGUUUAGACUUUAUCAGCUAACUGUUUAGUUUUGAGCUUUUCUUUAAUGCACUUUUCAGUUAACAAGUCAACAUCAAUUUCUUUUGCUGUAAAAAAGCUUGAGGAAGGUGGCUUGAGAUUCGUCUUAAGUGUUUAUAGCCUCUUGCCUAUGCAGUCGGAGAGAUUGAGGUCUGCAGCGUAGAUCCUUCGGGGCUAAAUGCAUUUGUGCUAAGUUAUAGCAUUUUAUAGACAACUUGUUGACUAUGAUUUGUCUUGUAGCUUACUCGCUUAUGUUAUUUUACCUACGCUUAGGAUGUUGAGUAGCGACAUACGCAC